UCCCAAGAGCUUUACUGAUCAUCAUUCCACCACUGGCUUCUGAAAUGGAAUGUUCUCCACGAAGUUGUGGAUACAGUAGAACAUCCGUCUUAUCCUUGUCAUUUGAUGUGGGGAAGCAGGUUACCACUGCAGUUUAAAUGAUUACUCAGCCUUUUGUAUGCUUGGGAAUUCUGGGUUUGGGAAAGUGCAUGUCCAUACCUAAUCUUACCCAAAGAGGUCCAAAAAGAAUUUGAAAAAGUAAUUUCCCAAACUGGGAAGUAAACAGGAUUCCCGUCAGUGUGAUGGACAGGUGUGUCAACCCUGCUACAGCUAGAGAGUAGAAUAUUAUUUAAUACAGGAAAGACCAACAGCCCCAACACAGCAGCAUAAGAGGACAUAAAGGAAAAGGACUUUAUA